rnacentral:rRNA from 1 species
UGGGGAAUCUUGCACAAUGGGGGAAACCCUGAUGCAGCGACGCCGCGUGAGCGAUGAAGCCCUUCGGGGUGUAAAGCUCUUUCGGCAGGAACGAUAAUGACGGUACCUGCAGAAGAAGCUGCGGCUAACUACGUGCCAGCAGCCGCGGUAAUACGUAGGCAGCAAGCGUUGUUCGGAGUUACUGGGCGUAAAGAGUGCGUAGGCGGUUCUCUAAGUUCGGUGUGAAAUCUCCCGGCUCAACUGGGAGGGUGCGCCGGAAACUGGAGGGCUUGAGUAUGGGAGAGGAAAGCGGAAUUCCUGGUGUAGCGGUGAAAUGCGUAGAUAUCAGGAGGAACACCUGUGGUGUAGACGGCUUUCUGGACCAUGACUGACGCUGAGGCACGAAAGCGUGGGGAGCAAACA